UCGUCGAGUAGGUUUGAGUAAGUUUGUCAAGUAGGUUAGAUACCGUUAUUAUAAAGUUAUGUGACAGUAUUAUGUACAUACGUAGUACAGAUGGUUAGAAAUUUCGAACUGUUGCUCUGAGCUAUAAUAACUACAGUCCCCACUACAUAUAGUACCCUAGUCUCCACCCAAACUGUAAUUUUGGCACAGACUUUAAUGUAUACGUAGGUGUGAAUAAAUGGGUUUAUUCGACUGUCUGAAACGGUUCCCUUCUUAUUAUUCGUGUUUGUGAGUUGUGCGCCAUGUAAUGGCGGAGGUAAUCUUCGAGUUUUUAAACUGAGUUUUAUUCAUCGUUUUUCGUACCGUCCGACGUUAUAUAACUAUAAUUCAUAUCACCCUGUAAUAGGUAAACUAAAUCUUUGUUGCUCCCCUCUCCACAGAUCGAAUAUAUCAAUAACAGUGAUCAGCAAUCGUUUAAAAAUGGAAGCCACCAUUCGGUUAGAUACCUUGACAAAUUACAACCCCCUCCUGGACAUGAAAUGUCCAGCCACAUACAAUGAGACAAAUCCAGAUGACGGAGGACAAGAAACAAUUACAAGAGCCGGCCCCAUACCUUUCUUAGUACUGUACAAAGCAUGGGGCAUGGUAUUGGGACACUUCCUCUACGACUUUUGGAAGAGUAAAAAUACAGAUUACAGAGGACAAGGAAUAAUUAAGAUAACCCGCCGCAUACUGUUAAUGUUUGUACAAUCCCUUAUACGUACAAUCAUCUUCAUAAUUUUAAUGUUUCUAUGGCCAAGAUUGGUAAUUAUCGCAGUGGCGAUUCUGGACGGGAAAAUGGAAGUCAGCUAUUUGGAACAAAUGAAUAAGGAUUUCAUAAUUUUUGCAGUUAAAAUAAAAAAUCAGACUUCCGGAAAAUGAAAUUAUUCGUCUGUUCUAGCGCGCCACUUACGUUUAUGCCACGGCGCUGUCACGAUAAAAUUCUACUCACGCGCUAGGCCAUGGAACUUUCUUUCAAAAAUUGAGAGAAAAAAACAGAAUUUUGGAGAAAUUUUAGGGGAAAUCUGACUUCCUCCUAAAAAUCGCCACGUUUGGUAUAAAACUGAAGGUAACUAAUCGCUCUCCCGAUCUCCCUGGUUUUUAUAUACAGUUAAGUAGCCUACUUUAAGAUUUCAUUUUUUUUCACCUCUUCAUUUCCACAAUAAUUUAGUUUUAGAUAUGACGCCUGUGUGUUACAAAUAAAAAACUAUGAAACGUUAA